rnacentral:rRNA from 1 species
UGCAAGCCGAGCGGUAGGGUUUCUUCGGAAACCUGAGAGCGGCGCACGGGUGCGGAACACGUGUGCAACCUACCUUUAUCAGGGGGAUAGCCUUUCGAAAGGAAGAUUAAUACCCCAUAAUAUAUUAGAUGGCAUCAUUUGAUAUUGAAAACUCCGGUGGAUAGAGAUGGGCACGCGCAAGAUUAGAUAGUUGGUGAGGUAACGGCUCACCAAGUCAGUGAUCUUUAGGGGGCCUGAGAGGGUGAUCCCCCACACUGGUACUGAGACACGGACCAGACUCCUACGGGAGGCAGCAGUGAGGAAUAUUGGACAAUGGGUGAGAGCCUGAUCCAGCCAUCCCGCGUGAAGGAUGACGGCCCUAUGGGUUGUAAACUUCUUUUGUAUAGGGAUAAACCUUUCCACGUGUGGAAAGCUGAAGGUACUAUACGAAUAAGCACCGGCUAACUCUGUGCCAGCAGCCGCGGUAAUACGGAGGGGGCUAGCGUUGUUCGGAAUUACUGGGCGUAAAGCGCACGUAGGCGGCUUUGUAAGUUAGAGGUGAAAGCCUGGAGCUCAACUCCAGAAUUGCCUUUAAGACUGCAUCGCUUGAACGUCGGAGAGGUGAGUGGAAUUCCGAGUGUAGAGGUGAAAUUCGUAGAUAUUCGGAAGAACACCAGUGGCGAAGGCGGCUCACUGGACGACUGUUGACGCUGAGGUGCGAAAGCGU